UAAGGAAUAUUGCGCAAUGGGCGAAAGCCUGACCCAGCAACGCCGCGUGAAGGAUGAAGUAUUUCGGUAUGUAAACUUCGAAAGAAUAGGAAGAAUAAAUGACGGUACUAUUUAUAAGGUCCGGCUAACUACGUGCCAGCAGCCGCGGUAAUACGUAGGGACCAAGCGUUGUUCGGAUUUACUGGGCGUAAAGGGCGCGUAGGCGGCAAUUCAAGUCAUCUGUGAAAUCUCCGGGCUUAACUCGGAACGGUCAGAUGAUACUGCUUUGCUAGAGUGCAGAAGGGGCAAUCGGAAUUCUUGGUGUAGCGGUGAAAUGCGUAGAUAUCAAGAGGAACACCUGAGGUGAAGACGGGUUGCUGGGCUGACACUGACGCUGAGGCGCGAAAGCCAGGGGAGCAAACGGGAUUAGAUACCCUCGUAGUCCCUGAGCGGGCUGGCAAGGCGCAU
rnacentral:rRNA from 1 species